rnacentral:siRNA from 1 species
UUGGUACUGGUGUCGAUCGACA